GACGAACGCUGGCGGCGUGCUUAACACAUGCAAGUCGAACGGAAAGGCCCUGCUUUUGUGGGGUGCUCGAGUGGCGAACGGGGGAGUAACACGUGAGUAACCUGCCCUUGACUUUGGGAUAACUUCAGGAAACUGGGGCUAAUACCGGAUAGGAGCUCCUGCUGCAUGGUGGGGGUUGGAAAGUUUCGGCGGUGGGGGAUGGACUCGCGGCUUAUCAGCUUGUUGGUGGGGUAGUGGCUUACCAAGGCUUUGACGGGUAGCCGGCCUGAGAGGGUGACCGGCCACAUUGGGCCUGAGAUACGGCCCAGACUCCUACGGGAGGCAGCAGUGGGGAAUAUUGCACAAUGGGCGGAAGCCUGAUGCAGCAACGCCGCGUGCGUGAUGACGGCCUUCGGGUUGUAAACCGCUUUCGCCUGUGACGAAGCGUGAGUGACGGUACUGGGUAAAGAAGCACCGGCUAACUACGUG
rnacentral:rRNA from 1 species